CAGACUUGCAGAGAGGAGCCUCUAGCGUUGACCCAACACUUCCUCCCUCCCUCCACACAGCUGCUUCUGCUUCUGUGUCUGUGCCUCCUCCCCUGACUUGGUAGGAGCCGGGCUGUGUCCCAGAGGAGUAGCCAGAGGAAGCAGGGACACACGGAGGUGCCAGGGAGGGUGGCACAGAAACGGAGUGGAGGAGUGGUGAGGACGCUGCUCGUCUUUCUGCCAAAGGAAAUGACUGAGCCGAAGCACAGUUAUCCUGUUGAAAACCAGCUGUCCACCAUCAGCCAACCCAUGAGAUGUGUGAUGCCAAACGACCGUAGAAUGGUUGAUGUUGAGUUCUUCAGAAACUUCUCAUGUAGUUGUAAGAGGAACAGCUCUGGUGAUCCUCUCAGUUGCAGUGUCAACUUCCAAUGGCUGCCCACUAUGCUGUUCAUCUUCAAGGCUCUCGUCUCCUUUGCAAGACUUCUUGAACCACCACUGCACUGUGUGUUCGUUAGCAGUUCCUGGACCAAACGCAUUGCUGAUGUUGUACAUUGUCUCUGCUGCUUUACAACAAUUUUGGGAGCAUUCUCUUGCUACCUGAAAUUCUAUAUUAUCCAAAUUCAUUGGUGAACCCAGUCAGCCCAAGAGGGACUCCUGAAUGAACACUAAAGAACAUCAAUGCUCCACAACAGGACUGGACUUCCC